rnacentral:rRNA from 1 species
AUUGAACGCUGGCGGCAGGCCUAACACAUGCAAGUCGAGCGGAUGACGGGAGCUUGCUCCUUGAUUCAGCGGCGGACGGGUGAGUAAUGCCUAGGAAUCUGCCUGGUAGUGGGGGACAACGUUUCGAACGGAACGCUAAUACCGCAUACGUCCUACGGGAGAAAGCAGGGGACCUUCGGGCCUUGCGCUAUCAGAUGAGCCUAGGUCGGAUUAGCUAGUUGGUGGGGUAAUGGCUCACCAAGGCGACGAUCCGUAACUGGUCUGAGAGGAUGAUCAGUCACACUGGAACUGAGACACGGUCCAGACUCCUACGGGAGGCAGCAGUGGGGAAUAUUGGACAAUGGGCGAAAGCCUGAUCCAGACAUGCCGCGUGUGUGAAGAAGGUCUUCGGAUUGUAAAGCACUUUAAGUUGGGAGGAAGGGCAGUAAGCGAAUACCUUGCUGUUUUGACGUUACCGACAGAAUAAGCACCGGCUAACUCUGUGCCAGCAGCCGCGGUAA